UACUACCGAAGCUACGGCAUCAGUAAUGAUGGGUAGGGGAGCUUCCCAUACGGGUUGAAGCAUGACCGUAAGGACAUGUGGACAGUAUGGGAGUGAGAAUGUUGGCAUGAGUAGCGAGAUGUGGGUGAGAAUCCCACAGGCCGUAAACCCAAGGUUUCCAGGGGAAGGUUCGUCCGCCCUGGGUUAGUCGGGACCUAAGCUGAGGCCGCAAGGCGUAGGUGAUGGACAACAGGUUGAUAUUCCUGUACUACCGAUAACCGGUUGAGAGAAGGGAUGACACAGUAGGAUAAGCUAAGCACACUGUUGGUUAUGUGUGCCCAAGCAUUGAGGCAGGCA
rnacentral:rRNA from 1 species